GCAAAACUAAAUAAGGUCUAUUCAAUGAAACAAUUUUUAUUCUAAUAUGUGCCUAAUCCUGUUGUUGUAGACGAAAUAGAAAUGUGAAAAGGUGCCAAGCUGUUACUAUGGGAACAUAAAUAACUCCCACAAGUGACAUUGCAAAAGCAGAGAAUACAAAGAAAUAUUGUUUAUUGUGUAUGUUUAUCUUCUCAAAAGCCAAAGUAACUCGAG
rnacentral:misc_RNA from 1 species